AAAGAAAAAUUGGUUUCAAUUAAAGCUCAAUUGACUAUAAUUGAUGAGUAAUAAUGGAAUGAAGGCAGUAUCCUAGGAGGGUUAGCGUUAGCGAAAUGUGAAGUGUUAGUUGGUUACCGAAAGGGAAAGGAAGGAAAUUUUGGUGUAGUAUAUAUUUGUAGUACCUUUUGGAGAAGGGUUCAACAAGAAAAAGGCAUGAAAAGGUAUGCUAUCCCGAAGUUGAAAGAGCUACCAGUAGACCAGCAAGGAGGCUACAGAGGUCAUAGUUGAAAAUAUGUCUUAAGAUCUACUGGUAGAGGUGAAAUGCCUUUCGAAUUCGACGAUAUCUGGUUGGUUCAGAAAUAAAUUAAGUUUAGGGUUGUGAGUUUUAGCAGCACUGAUUAUUCCUUGUAGAGCAGUGAAUAAUAAAAAGGACAUAAGGCAAAAAAUUUUUUUCUAAGGGUAAGGGUAGGCUUAACUGCGGUCUCCAGAAUGAACGCUAGACGCGUACUUAGGUAGGUGAAGAAAUUAGUUUUAGGUGGGUCUUAAGAUGUAUGAAUCAUAGUAACUGAACAAGAAGGUUAUUAUUAUAAUGUUGAAAUAAGUAGGUUUAAUAAUCUAUAGAUUUUUAAUAGAAUUUGAUUAUAUGGUAAUCCAGAAAAAGGAACUUGGCAAAUUUAGUCUCCCCCGACUGUUUAAUAAAAACAUAGCGUCUAGAAAGUGAAUAGAGGUGUUGCCUGCCCGGUGGGAAGAUUCUUCUUUAAACGGCGGCCUUAGCGUGAGGGUCUUAAGGUAGCAUAUAAUAUACUGAUUAAUUGUCAGGUGGAAUGAAUGGGAGCACGAGGGGAAAACUGUCUUUUUUUGGUUAAACUGAACUUACCUUGGAGGUGAAAAGGCCUUCAUAUAGUAAAUAGACGAUUAGACCCCAUGAAAUUUUAGUCUUUUAGCAGAGAACGAAGUGUUUGGAAAAUUUAAGGCUUAGGUUGGGGCAACCCGGGAAGAUAGCAAGCUUCCCGAGAUCGACAUCUAACUCUCAGGUGUAGAACCUUUACGCGGGGUUAACGGAAAAAAUUACUCUGGGGAUAACAGCUGAAUCUUCCCGGAGAGGGCUUAUUGAUGGGAAGGAUUACGACCUCGAUGUUGAAUGUGGCUAUCCUUGGGCUUGCAGGGGGUCCAAAUGGUUGGACUGUUCGUCCAUUAAAAGCUAACCUGAUUUGAGUUAAGAACGGCGCGAGCUAGUUCGGUUUCUAUCUUUUACUAAAUUAGGAUACUGUUAGUUUUUGUACGAAAGGACUAAAAAAGCCGACUUUUGUCCGGUGGAUAUGAGAGAUUAUAAUGGGAAAAGUUUUAAAAAUAAUUUUAAGG
rnacentral:rRNA from 1 species